rnacentral:sRNA from 1 species
AAACCAAAAAAGUCUCCAAAUAUAAAGUUGCUUUGGGGCCUUCCUAUUCAUCUAGUGGUUUCUAGUCUCAGUUUAGCUAUUUUAUGAAGGAGAGGGGGCCCAAGUUGAAAACCAGGUAUUAAUUUAAUAUUUGUAUUAAUGGAAAAAUGUGUUAGACCUAUACAAGUUAGAGUUCUGUGAACUGCUGCCAGGCUAUUCCUUAAUUUUCUGCAGAUUAUUGAUUAUUCCUUAAAUUUUUGAAAGUUUUUAAUCAUAUGUGAAGUCCCAUUUUCCUCCACAUUUGAACAAUGCCAUCAACUUCAGCUUAGAUCACAAGAGAGGUGUGUGUCUUUAGCCUUCACUUUGAGCAGUAAUGAUCAUCUAGGUGACCCAUGACAUGUUUUGGAGACUGUGGAGGACAACAGCUUUGAGCAGUUCAUUAUUAAUUAUUGUAAUGAAAAGCUGCAACAAAUCUUCAUUGAACUUACUCUUAAAGAAGAGCAGGAGGAGUAUAUACGGGAGGAUAUAGAAUGGACUCACAUUGACUACUUCAAUAAUGCUAUCAUUUGUGACCUAAUAGAA